rnacentral:rRNA from 1 species
GUCCUUUAGUUUAUGAUUUAAGGUCUGACCUGCCCAAUGAUUAUUUUGAAUGGCCGCAGUAUUUUGACUGUGCAAAGGUAGCAUAAUCAUUAGUUUUUUAAUUGAAAGCUGGAAUGAAUGGUUUGAUGAAAAAAUAACUGUCUCAAUAAAAUUUAUUUAGAAUUUUAAUUUUAAGUGAAAAAGCUUAAAUGUUUUAUGAAGACGAGAAGACCCUAUAGAGUUUAAUAUUAUUUUUUACUAAAAUUUUUAGGUUUUAUUUUAUAUAUUAGUAUAUUUAAUAUUUUGUUGGGGUGACAGAAAAAUUUAAUAAACUUUUUAUGUUUUUGAACAUUGAUUUAUGAAUUUAUGAUCCUGAUUUUUGGAUUAAAAGACUAAAUUACCUUAGGGAUAACAGCGUAAUUUCUUUGGAGAGUUCUUAUCGAUAAAGAAGUUUGCGA